rnacentral:rRNA from 1 species
AAUCUCUGUAGAGUCUGCAUAUCAAUAAGCGGAGGAAAAGAAACUAACAAGGAUUCCCCUAGUAACGGCGAGUGAAGCGGGAAGAGCUCAAAUUUGAAAUCUUCAAGGUUCUGACCUUGACGAAUUGUAGUUUAAAGAAGUGUUUUCGGUUAGAGGAGUAGUAAAAGUUCUUUGGAAUAGGACAUCAUAGAGGGUGAGAAUCCCGUAUUUGACUAUUCUUUCUAGCUUUGUGAUACACUUUCAAAGAGUCGGAUUGUUUGGGAAUGCAGUCCAAAAUGGGUGGUAAAUUUCAUCUAAAGCUAAAUAUUGGCGAGAGACCGAUAGCGAACAAGUACCGUGAGGGAAAGAUGAAAAGAACUUUGAAAAGAGAGUUAAACAGUACGUGAAAUUGUCAAAAGGGAAGCGUUUGACACCAGUGUUGUUUUUUCCGAAAAUCAAUUAAAAAUUGAUUCAUGCCAGGUUGUAUUGACCUUAUCAGCUUGCAAUUUGGUUUUGGGUCUCUUUUUGAUGCACUUUUCGGUUAACAAGUCAACAUCAAUUUCCUUUGCUGUAAAAAGGUAAGAGGAAGGUGGCUUCAAUUUCGGUUGAAGUGUUUAUAGCCUUUUAUCUCUGCAGUCGGGGAGAUUGAGGUCUGCAGCGUAGAUCCUUCGGGGCUAGAUACAUUUAUGCUAAGUUAUAGCUUUUCAUAGACAACUUGUUGACUAUGUUUAGUCAUGUAGCUUACUCGUAAGUGCUAUUUUACCUACGCUUAGGAUGUUGA